rnacentral:rRNA from 1 species
GAUGAACGCUGGCGGCGUGCCUAAUACAUGCAAGUCGAGCGAACAGACGAGGAGCUUGCUCCUCUGACGUUAGCGGCGGACGGGUGAGUAACACGUGGAUAACCUACCUAUAAGACUGGGAUAACUUCGGGAAACCGGAGCUAAUACCGGAUAAUAUAUUGAACCGCAUGGUUCAAUAGUGAAAGACGGUUUUGCUGUCACUUAUAGAUGGGUCCGCGCCGCAUUAGCUAGUUGGUAAGGUAACGGCUUACCAAGGCAACGAUGCGUAGCCGACCUGAGAGGGUGCUCGGCCACACUGGAACUGAGACACGGUCCAGACUCCUACGGGAGGCAGCAGUAGGGAAUCUUCCGCAAUGGGCGAAAGCCUGACGGAGCAACGCCGCGUGAGUGAUGAAGGUCUUCGGAUCGUAAAACUCUGUUAUUAGGGAAGAACAAAUGUGUAAGUAACUAUGCACGUCUUGACGGUACCUAAUCAGAAAGCCACGGCUAACUACGUG